GACAGAAGCUGCUUCCUGUGCAGGAAAUGCGAGAUCUCUGCUCAGUGACAGAGGCUCAGGAAUUUCUUAGGACCUAUGGAUCUUCCAGUCCAACUGAGUGCAGAAAACUGCCAGGUUUCAUCUUCCUCCUUCUCUACACCAAAAAACCUGAGACCAGGAUGCCGUGUAGGUGCUUCAGUUGGGAGAUGAUGCCAAGAACCACAAAUGAGGAAAUGAAGGGUCUGGCUCUUAUCACCUCUGAAUAGCAUGCCAUUCUCUUAGCCUCAUCUAAGAAACAGACUGUAGGGGAAGAGAAGAUCUAGAAUGUUGGUCACCAACCAAUGGCAGACAUUAUCAGACAAUUUGUGAGCAAGGAAGUCAGGAACUGUGAGCCACCUGCCAUCUUAAUUUGACAUCUAGUCUCACUACUUUCAAGCACCUCCACUUCAAAAUACUCUUACAAGUGAAUCACCAUUGUUAAAUGGAUCUUUGAAGGAAUUUUGACAACCAGACUGAAAACAAUCUAGACAUCUUAGAUAUUUGUGGCUUCACAGAAAAUAAAAUAAAACAACCCUUUUCAGCAUCAAGUUAUAUUUUCCAUAGCUACAGAAUCUG